CCUACGGGAGGCUGCAGUGGGGAAUAUUGCACAAUGGGGGAAACCCUGAUGCCGCGACGCCGCGUGAGUGAAGAAGUAAUUCGUUAUGUAAAGCUCUAUCAGCAGGGACGAAAAUGACGGUACCUGAGUAAGACGCCCCGGCUAACUACGUGCCAGCAGCCGCGGUAAUACGGAGGAUGCGGGCGUUAUCCGGAUUCAUUGGGUUUAAAGGGUGCGCAGGCGGGCCUUGAAGCCGGCGGUGAAAUCGCGGGGCUCAACCCCGCCGAGCCGUCGGAACUGGGGGCCUUGAGUGCGGCGGAGGCAUGCGGAAUGCGCGGUGUAGCGGUGAAAUGCAUAGAUAUCGCGCAGAACCCCGAUUGCGAAGGCAGCGUGCCGUGCCGCCACUGACGCUGAGGCACGAAAGCGCGGGGAUCGAACAGGAUUAGAUACCCCAGUAGUC
rnacentral:rRNA from 1 species